AGAGUUUGAUCUGGCUCAGAUUGAACGCUGGCGGCAGGCCUAACACAUGCAAGUCGAGCGGAAACGAGUUAUCUGAACCUUCGGGGGACGAUAACGGCGUCGAGCGGCGGACGGGUGAGUAAUGCCUAGGAAAUUGCCCUGGUGUGGGGGAUAACCAUUGGAAACGAUGGCUGAUACCGCAUAAUACCUACGGGUCAAAGAGGGGGACCUUCGGGCCUCUCGCGUCAGGAUAUGCCUAGGUGGGAUUAGCUAGUUGGUGAGGUAAUGGCUCACCAAGGCGACGAUCCCUAGCUGGUCUGAGAGGAUGAUCAGCCACACUGGAACUGAGACACGGUCCAGACUCCUACGGGAGGCAGCAGUGGGGAAUAUUGCACAAUGGGCGCAAGCCUGAUGCAGCCAUGCCGCGUGUGUGAAGAAGGCCUUCGGGUUGUAAAGCACUUUCAGUCGUGAGGAAGGUAGUGUAGUUAAUAGCUGCAUUAUUUGACGUUAGCGACAGAAGAAGCACCGGCUAACUCCGUGCCAGCAGCCGCGGUAAU
rnacentral:rRNA from 1 species